rnacentral:misc_RNA from 1 species
ACACCCAUCAAGCCUGGCUUGGUCUUGGGCAGCGGGACGUCCCCGCGCCCCGAUUUCGCCGGCUGGACGACCCCGAUCUCUCAAGCGUUGUACAAUCUCGCUGGCGAGACGGGCGGCCACGCCGUUAACCGCAAUCAAUUCA